GUUCAUGUAAACUGAUUUUUCUCCAUACCCAGACAGUGGCAAUAUUCCACAUAGCCUACAAAAGUCACUAUUCUGUAUUUUUUAUGCAUCAGAAAAAAAUUCUCUCUCUAUAUAUAUAAAUAUACAUAUAUAUAUAAAACCCACUCUGUAAUAACUUGUAGCCUACAUGUAAAAUGAAAUAUUUUAAAUAAUACAAUAAAGGCAGAAUAUCCAUAAUUAUUAUUUUUUUGAUUAAAUAAAAUAUCAGCAUUUUUUAUUCAUGGCUAGGUUAACAUUUACAAUUCAGCAUUUUGCAAUAUUUAAGUGGAAUUGAAUAUGCUAUGAGAAAACUUAAAACUCCAUCACUCCUGUAUGGCUGGCUGGCACAGGUCAUGGUUUUCUGCAUUUUACCAGAGAAGAUGAAGGAAAAGCUCCUGCUCCAGCCUGGCAGGAUGAUCUCUGCACCCCCCAAAUGAGAAUAACUCCAUCCUCAAAGUGACUUUUAAUCCACAUUUUUUGCCUGUGCAGGUUAUGUGAAUGUGAAACUGUUGCUUAUUAAAAUAAUUCACACAAGAAAGUAAUUUAGACUACACAUGGCAGGCUCUGAGGUAAAAUAUAAUAACUUUUAACAACUUAGGAGUCUAAUUUCUUUCUUGGCUGAGCACGGACACCUCCAUUAUGAUUCAGUGUGAGAACCCUGUGCUCACAUAAAGCAGAAUUUGACUCUUUAUAUUCAAAUAAAGAAUAAAAGUAUAGAAGCAGUUAAUGCUGUGCAACAAGGUGUCCUUAAAGAGCUCAAAAUAGUUUCUAUUUAUCAACACUUGCAUUUGAGGAGGGCUAUUCCAUGUGCUGCUCCAAACCCUGAACAAACAUUCCCCCACUCAGGCUGCAGUGGGACUAAACCUCCUUCAGCUCCCAGAGCAGCUGGGGAUGGAAAGAUUGAGGAAAUAUUCACAUUUCCUUGGGGAACCUCCCAAAAAUCAGGAAGAGUUUGGGAUUUAAAUCGUUCUUCCCUUUUCCAGGCUGGAGGAUAAGGCAAGGGGAGCACAACAAGCUCAGAAAAAUGAGAAAUUUGGGGGCAAAUCCUGGCUUUCAGCAGCUGCUGCACACAGAGGAGCUGCCUGGGUAAUCAGGGUGACCUGGAGACAGAAAACUGUUCCUGUGGACUACAAAGAGGGUGAAGGACUUGGUCUUGGGAAGAGAAGGGCUGGGAAAGAUUUAACAACAAAAAUCACAGAAAUCACAAAACCUGGGUCAAAUGUUCUUGGUCAUGGCCAGGAGGAACACAAGGCUGGCAGAACCUGCUCUAUAACAGCAAGUGAGGACAUUCCAAGAAAAGCAGCAAGUUUUGACAAAUCCUUGAGAUGUCACUGAUUUGUGAAUGUGUGCACGAGAGGAAAACGACAUGUAACUGAGAAAACAGAAGGAAAUUCAGAAAUUAAAAGAAACCAAAGGGAAAAAAAAAAAAAAGCCCAUCAGACUGCUUCGUGGUGUGGUGCCUUUUUUUGUGUUGUUUUGUUACUUUUUGUGGCCUUAUUAUAGCAAAGCUAUCAUCUGAGGAUCUGCAGGGACUGCAGUGAUUGACAGAUGUCUGUCAAGUGUGCGUGCUCUGAAAAUCUGAAAACACGAAGCACAAGCAACUUUAGCUUUGCUUUUCAUGACAUAUGCUCAAAUUGGAAACCAAACAAGUUUAAGGAAAGAAUAAACUACUUGCUAUCAAUUGUCCUAAUCAUCUUUUGAUUUUGAGAAGUGGAAUAACUUCCAGCCACCACUGAAAAUUGCAUCUGCCAAGGAAACCUUUGUUCAGGAUCUUUGCCUUAGAGAGAAAAUGGGGAAAAAAGCCUAAAGAUCAGCAAAGUAUUAAAAUUACUAAGAAAAUUACAAUUAUUAAACCAGCUCUUAUUCUAGAAAUUAUAAACAAUAAUUUUUAUAGAAAGACUUUGUAUAAUUAAUAGGAAAACAGAAUGAGAUAGACUAACUUUCAUAAUAGCAAACCAGACUGAUUUUGACCUUCUAAGUAUUUUCCUGCACCUUUUAAGCAAACCUGCUUGGUAUCCAAAAAAGCAUUCAUUGCCACUUAAUCAAUUAAUUAAAUAAUAUGAUUAGAUCUAGAAUUUAGAAUACUUAUUCAGACUGAAUUCACAACACAUCUUUGCUUUUAGUUCGUGGCUUUUUGAAGCUGGACUACAGAAACUAAAACAUGAUUUAGAUUCAGAAAAUCACUGAGAGCUGAAUAUUGUGUCCUCAAGCUCAAGUUAAACACAGAAGGAAGAACAAAAUACAGGCAAGAAAUCUGAUUUAUUUUCAAAGGACAGAAGGGAUGACAUAUGGGUUCAAAAUACUGUAAAGACUCCAAGCCUAGAGCUAUAAACACGUCCAUAAUAUGUGCAAUAUACACUGCUGAUGUGUGCAGAGAUGUACACAAAUAUAGAGGGGAGAAAUCCAUGGCAUUUAGAGGAGCUGAUCAGAAAUCUGUCAGUAGGAAAAACUAGGCAGAGAAAUUAAUUCAUUGGGAAUAACAGAGCUGAGGAAAAUGUUUUCACAGAGCAUCAGAGAAGUCAUUAAAUGCUGUGCAGCAGCACAUGUAAGUGAAAUAAAAAACAGAUCCAAGGAAGCAGAGAAUGAAGUGACCUCCUGGAUGUGGUAAAUACAAAGCCAGGUGGGUGAAGGUUCUGUGUCCAACAGAGCAGCAAUUUUAUAACAAAAUUAUAAAUAAAGCCCUGGCCCAGAAUUAAAGGUGUGGGACAAUGAGGCUCUGAUGGCAUUGAACCCAGAAAUGCACAAACACCUCUGAAAUGUUUGCAGCCUCACUGGUUUUCCUUUCAGAGGUGCCUGUGAUUGAGGAAUGAAACAAUAACUAAUUAAUAAAAGCACAGCCAUUGAAAGCAAUCACAAAAGAGAGAAAGAAUUUCCAGCAGCACAGGCUCUCAAGGGGCAGCUCCUGGUGAGCAGUGCCACAACAGCAAAAUCUUCCCUUAACUUGAGUUUUCCUCAUCUUAAAGUUGGCCAAUCCACCCAGAAACCAACUCUUAUUUUCUUCUGCACCUCUGAUUUUUAAUACAGCAUUAUACAUGAUGCAUGCACAGGGCUGCAUACAUUCUGUGCUGGAAUGGGUAUGAAGGUGUGUUCUAAACACAGGGCACUCAAGCAGCAAUCCUCACCCAGCUGUGGGGGUAAAAAAAAUAAAAUAUUCAGAUGCAAAGGAGGAUUUAUGAAUUGAAUUUAUUUUUUAUCUGCCAGUAAGCCUAAGUUGAAAUAUGAAUAACUGAUUUAACACUGAAAUGGUAUUCAAAUAUUUGACUCCAGUCCCCUAUUGCUUCUAAAUUCAUUCAGAAGUCAAGAUUAUUAAUUCUUCCUGACAGAAAAUCAAGAUUUAAUGAUCAUCUGAUAACCCUUAGGAAUUAAAAAGUAAACUGAGAUGAUAAUUCAGACAAAAUAGAAAGAUUUUACAUAUAUAAGGCAAACACCAUGCAGAAUACCCAUUUAGGCAUUUCCUAUGGGGCAGUAACUAUUUUUUAAGAAAACACAGAGCAAAAAAACUAUGUCUUGGUAUGUACAUUAAAAGGUUUAAAAGGAAAAAGGGGCUCUUCAUUAAAAUCUGCAGACCUUAAACCCUCUGCUCUGAUCACACAGACCAACUGAACCCCUCAAGCACUGCUGCAAAAGAGCCUGGAA
rnacentral:lncRNA from 1 species